GUGCUAUGAAAGAAGUGAAUAGGAUGAUGUAAGAGAGAGGAUCUGAGUUAGUUGGAGAAAAAAUUCUUAAAGAGGGGACAAAUAAGUUGAAAUUUUGAAGAUGAAAAUUAGCCAUUUUUUCAGUGAACUGGCUGCUUUACUGAAAAUGACUGAAAGAGUAGAAAACUAGUGCGGAAGUAGGAAAGCUUGUUAAAUGUGUACUGCAGUAUUGCAGGAUGGUGGCUGAGAAGAGAGCAAAAUGAAUCAAGACAUCUAUCUUGAAUUUAAUGUGUUUGGGAGGCAUUGGGGAAAUUAUUUCAUGUGAAGACAUUAAAUGAGCCAUUCAUUAGACAUGUCUGAUAUUCAGGAAAGACAUAUGGCUAUAAGUUAUACAUUUGGAAGCCAGUUAAACCAGUGGAAUCAGAUGUGUUUACCUACAGGAAAGGGGGCUUGGACCUAUGGUAUAGGAUCUAUAAUUACUUUUUGUUUUUGCUAGAAAAACUAGUCAAGGCACAAGUGUUAAUUUAUUUGAGGAGACGUGGGUUGGGAUUUGUAUUGGACGAAACCUUGUGCAUCUUCACAGAUUUUGUCCAGUGCCUCUGUUUUUCUCUCAUGGUCAUCAUCUGAGUCACAUUGGGUCAUGACUCCACUAUUAGAACUGAGGUCAUGUCUCCUAAGAGCCUGCAAAAGGCCAGAUAAGACAAUCAGAUGUGGAGAGGAGUUAGUUUUCCAUGGAAUGAUCUUUGGCAUGUUGGAACCAAGAGAUAAAAAGGAGCUCUGUUGCAUUUGUGAAUGAAUUCCUCUGAAGAAGGCCAAAUUUUAUAGGAUUUGUGUCCUUCAUCCUUCAGAAGGCUUUCAUUUCACCUAUAUGGCUCUCAUCAGACCAGACUGGGCAACUCACUUUCACAAACCUUGAGGACAGCAAGCUUCAUGAGAAUAGGAAUUGCCUCGUUGGCAGCUGGAAGACUUGUUCGCAUGUGUGUUGACGUGAGUGGCCUUGGGAAGAAAAGCAGUCCCAUCCGCUGCUUAAGGAGCUGGAGAAGAAUGAACAAGGAUGAGUGUAAGGAGGUCAGUUGCCUGUCCCUUGGUGUCACAUCUUCCUCUGAGAAGCCCCAAGCGGCUGAUUACUCCCGAUUACCCAGAUCCAGUCCCUUUCGCUGUCUCCCUCCUUCCAGAACACACACACACACACACACACACACACACACACACACAACUCCCCUUUCACUCAUGAAAUUUGUUGUGCAUGAUCAAAUGUUACUUCUUUUUCGUACAUCUAGCUUUGCACGUCAAUUUUCAGCGUGCAGAGCCAGCCUCUGUCCCUUUUCCUAUCUGUCACAUCAUUCAAACAGGCGUUCAGACAGUGUGAGUUUCAGGAUGUUUAUUUCCUUGGGCCGCGCACACACACACACACACACACACCCCGGCUAGCUCCGUCUCUCUCCGUUUCUUUGCAUCGCUGUCCCUCUCUCUCCUCUUACGCGCAAGACACGCACCGGGGCUCUCGCAACACGCGCACAUAAAUGUCUGGGAGGGCUCCUGAGCUCAAUGUCACGCUGGGCAGAAGUGGAGCACGAGUGGAGGGAGAGCGCGCGGGGUGCGGGCGGGGAGACUCCGUCUCCGGCCGGCAGAGGGCGGCCGAGGGGCGGCGCUGGCGCGCGAGGGCUGCGCGGAGCCUCGCCUCGCCUCGCCUCGCCUCGCCUCGCCUCGCUCGGGCAGCCCCAGCCCAGCCCCAGCCCAGCCCAGCCCCAGCCCAGCCCCAGCCCAGCCCAGCCCAGCCGCGGCGGAGCCCGGAGCGCAGCCACUGAGGGCAGCGGCAGCGGCGGCGGCGGGAGCGAGGCGCGCAGGGAGCCGCGGCGCGGGCGGGAAGCAGGAGCCGCCGCCGCCGCCGCCGCCGCCGCGACGGGCAGCGGGGCUCGCCGGCAGCCGGCCCGGGCCCCCGCCAGCGCCCCCGCCCGCGCCCCCGCCCGCGCCCGCGCCCGCGCCCCCCGGGCCCCGUGCCCCCCGCGCCGGGCGGCCGGCGAGUCUGGAGCCCGCGCCGUC
rnacentral:lncRNA from 1 species